rnacentral:rRNA from 1 species
AUUGAACGCUGGCGGCAGGCUUAACACAUGCAAGUCGAGCGGGGGAAGGUAGCUUGCUACUGGACCUAGCGGCGGACGGGUGAGUAAUGCUUAGGAAUCUGCCUAUUAGUGGGGGACAACAUCUCGAAAGGGAUGCUAAUACCGCAUACGUCCUACGGGAGAAAGCAGGGGAUCUUCGGACCUUGCGCUAAUAGAUGAGCCUAAGUCGGAUUAGCUAGUUGGUGGGGUAAAGGCCUACCAAGGCGACGAUCUGUAGCGGGUCUGCGAGGAUGAUCCGCCACACUGGGACUGAGACACGGCCCAGACUCCUACGGGAGGCAGCGGUGGGGAAUAUUGGACAAUGGGGGGAACCCUGAUCCAGCCAUGCCGCGUGUGUGAAGAAGGCCUUAUGGUUGUAAAGCACUUUAAGCGAGGAGGAGGCUACUAUAGUUAAUACCUAGAGAUAGUGGACGUUACUCGCAGAAUAAGCACCGGCUAACUCUGUGCCAGCAGCCGCGGUAA